rnacentral:rRNA from 1 species
GGAUUUAUUGGGCGUAAAGCGCGUCUAGGCGGUUUGGUAAGUCUGAUGUGAAAAUGCGGGGCUCAACUCCGUAUUGCGUUGGAAACUGCCAAACUAGAGUACUGGAGAGGUAGGCGGAACUACAAGUGUAGAGGUGAAAUUCGUAGAUAUUUGUAGGAAUGCCGAUGGGGAAGCCAGCCUACUGGACAGAUACUGACGCUAAAG